UUAUUAUUAGUCAGCAUACAAAUAUAGAAACAGAAACAAUUGUGAACAUGGCUCCCAAAGCACUCUCUUAUUCAUUUUCCUUCAUUGCAAGGCUUCUGUCAUUCACACCCCACUGUGAUGUCACCAUCUGUAGCCCUAGACCUGCCUGCCACCAGUGUGUGUGUGAGUGAAUGCACCAUCUGUCCUCAAUGGGCCUCCCCUUGAUGCUGUUAUAUACGCUGCUUCCUGUCCUCCUCCACUCUUCCUUUGGGUUUUUCAAAUGCCAUCUCACUUAUUUUUACUGUAUUGAAAUGUUUGGAUCAAAAUUUGAAAUGUUUGUUGAAAUGUUUUGAUUGCAGUUUAUGGAUUUUUCUGAAACUUUUCCACACUGUCAAUUCAACCACAUCCUAAAUGAUGUUUUGUGUUUACUAACAUUAUGAAAAUGGUGGAAAUGGUUGAAAGGGAAAUUACAUUUUAAGCAUUUUUAGGAUUAAAAUGAGAGAGAGAGAGAGAGAGAGAGAGAGAGAGAGAGAGAGAGAGAGAGAGAGAGAGAGAGAUUAUUAUGACAAAAUUGUUGGCAGUAAAAUUUGAGUGGAUAUCAUACUUAUAUGAUGGAUUUUCAUAUUUUAAUACUGAAAGUCUGGGAUAAUGGAAAAAUGAUACAUAAAAUAACAAUCGCAAAUGUUGAAGACAUUGUAAAGAAAUAAUUAAAUAAAAUAACUCUGAAUGUGUUUUAAAUCUAUAUAAAUACGCACAAAUAAAAAAACCAACCCCUCAGACAUAAAAGCGCCUUUAGUUGAAGAAAUACCCAUAUGAUAUACUAAUAUGGUAUUGUGAAUACUAUAUUGAUCUAUUUGAUGUCUUUCCAAUAUAAUUGUCCAUAUGUGAGCUCAUUGUAGGCACGGGCAAGACAUGGACAAAGGCCUUUUCUUACAAAGAUAACAAACUCACACACACAUACAUACAAAGAUAAUACCCCUCCCCUGCCAAACUGCCCCUCGACCUCCCCUCUCACCCCCAAAUCUACCCUCAUUGUCACUAAUCUCAUCCCAAGAUGUUAUCAGCUGUGCAUGUGUGUGUGUGUGUGUGUGUGUGUGUUAUCUGCUGCACUGGUUAUCUUAGAAUAGGUCAAAACAGCAGAGUGCUGCUACCGGUAACUUUCACCUCAGGUUAAACUCUAGUGUGCUUGUAAGCGUGCAGACACACGCAUUUAAACACCCCGGCAAAGUGUUCAGACUCUUUUAAAAAAUUACGGCCAAUCUCUGCGCCAUUCAUCCCACUGCCAUUAUGACGUUACCUCUCACUUGUUCACUGAGAUUAAACCCUGAGAACUGAUUACACUUUUUUUGUUCUGUCGUCCAUUCACCCUAGUUUUCCUUUUCUUUUUCUCUGGCUAUUAAGGAUGACAUGACCUAAUCUAGGAUCAGCACUCUUACCGCACUAUUUUCUUGACCCCCCUCUCUCUUCCUUUAGUCUUUCGCCUCCUUUUUUCUGCAUCCUCCACCAUCUCUUAAUCAGCUCACUUUACCUUGUUCCCUCUUUCUUUCUUCUACUCACCCAUCCACUUUUCUAUAUAGUUUGUCUCUUUCAAUCCCCUCACCAUUCAAACACUAUCAUAUGCUAGACUAACAUGUGAAUUAGCUAAUUGGCCUUUGCUGUUCUGUCUCGUAUGUUCGUUCAUCCGUUCUUUUCUCACUCUUUGUUACAUCUCAGUCACCCUGCGUCCGCAUUAGUGUGAGAAACUAAGUACUCAUGAAAGCAUGCUAACUCUGUGUUUUGUUUCUCUGUAAUAAAUAAGCUAAUGUCUGGGAGCGACGGUAUAUCCUGACUCUUGUUUUUCAUCUCUCAUUUUGUUAUUUUUCUCCUGUGUAGCGUGUGAUUGAAAGCUCGAGCUUCCCCCUCUCUCAUGUGAACGAGGGAUGACAGAGAGCUACAUGAGCCUUGCCGGCGGGAGGAAGGAAAAUUAGACGGUGGAUAAAUACACAGAGCAGGUGUUGAACGAAAACAGUCAUUAAUAUAAUGCCACGUGUCUGAUUUGGCUUUGUGGUUACACUGCUUCGGCAUCUUACAUAUGUGUCAGAUAGAAGCCAUAUAGUUCAAAUCAUAUACAAACAUGAAUUUGGCAAUGUGCAUGUGAGUUUAAACAAUUUCAAACAAUGAAACAAAUGUGAAGCCGUUGCUUCAAAUCAUAGUUUUUCGGAACUGUCAGUUAUAAAAAAAUGUAAAAAAAUAGAAACCUUUGUCUCCUUUAAAAACGCAAUCCUUUUUCUUCUUGAUUUGUCUUUGGCGCUCCUUUUGAUGUUGUAACAUAUUUAUGUGAAUUCUGUAUAUGUCAAACUCUCAAAACAUUCAUUGUUUAUGUCUACAUUUGUUUCAGAGUAUAAACUUUACAUACCCAGAAACAAUUCCUGAGAUCUUCUGACAAAAGAGAGAUUUCUUAAUCUUCAGCUUGCAAGUUCUAAUAGAGCGAUAUCAGAUCAAAUACACAUGCGACAGAUGAACCGUAUUGUGCUGGUUGUAAAUAUUUGCGAGUUCGUGUCACGAGUAUGAGAGAAUGUGCGUUUUAAUAGUGAAAUCAGAUUAGGCGCAGAUCACAAUCCACACACACAGUUUUCCUGAGGGCAGGUACAGUGAUAUACUUCACUUUGUUGUCAUGAAACACAACCCUUCCCCCAGGCCUCACAGAUAAAGAACCUCACACACAAGUUUUGUUUUAAGAUUACCAGAUAUAUUUGUGCUAUAAAAACAAUUAUUGGUAACACAAUUAUUAUUAAGUCAUCGCCAAACAUUAUGUACUGAUUAUAGGUUUUAGUAGCCUGUUUCCACCUGUUUUGUCAAACAAAAACUGCUAUAUAUUUCACAGUGUCACUAUAUAUCUUGCAACUGCAGUAUUUCUCAUUACUGUGACUUAAUAUACUACUGUUCAAUAGUCAGUAAUAUUUUUAUAAAUGCCAAGACUGCAUUUAUUUGAUCAAAAAUAAAGUAAGAACAGCAAUAUUGUGAAAUAUUACAAUUUAAAGUAACAUUUUAAAAACUUUUUAAAAUAUAAUUUAUUCCUGUGAUGUCAAAGCUGAAUUUAGCAGAUAUGCCAGUCUUCAGUGCCACAUGAUUUUGAUGUGUUGCUCAAGAAACUUGAGCUGAUUAGUAUUUUUGUGGAAACUGAUUUUUUUUUUUUUUUUUUUUACAAAUAAAGUACAAAUAAACAGCAUAUCUUGCAUUUCCCCCUCAUAUUCUGUAUUUCCCAUUUAUCCAAUUAUACACACUUACCUAUAUUUUUCAGAAUUAAAAAUGGGGCAACAUAUGAAGUUUAAUUUUU
ensembl:lncRNA